GCUAGACCCGAAGUUCCCAGAGAACAGGAAUUUCCAGUGUGUUUUCUCCCCAGCCCUUCCCACAGUGCCUGGCUCACAGUGGUCAGUAAGUCUAAGUGACAAUGUGGAUGUGGACAGAAUGCUGCAGAAUCUGGAGAUGAGUCACUCACCUGACAGUGUAACAGUCAGUGCAAUUACAGCUGCAGUGAGGACGGCGAUCACUGCAUAGCAGCCGUAGAGCUUAGCAGGAGACUCAGGGGAGAUGAUCCUGAGACAUUUUCCUUGGAGCUUUUUACCUGAAAAUAUAAAUAUCAGAACAUCAAUCUCAAGAGGCUAUAAGGGCAGAUAAAGAAGACCAAGAAAAAGGCAGUCUGGUGUAGUAAGGUCUGUCUCUAGCAUGCCCAUGGAAGCCUCUUCAGCCUUUGCAGCCUUCAUCUGUGAGCCGAGAGGAAGAGACUCAAGUGAAUCCAGGAGGAUGUUUGAAACUUGAAACUGUGGAAGAGAAAGGACUUUGUGUUCUGUAUGUUGUUGCUCCUAAUAAAAUAUUUUACAAGUUUA